GGGGGGGGGGGGGGGGGGGGGGGGGCGGGGGGGGGGGAGGGGACGGGGGGGGCUGGUGGCGCGGGGGUGCGGAACGCGGGGGAACCUGCCCUUAGGUUCGGAAUAACUCCCCGAAAGGGGUGCUAAUACCGGAGAAUGUCUUCGGACCAAAGAUUUAUCGCCUUUGGAUGGGCCCGCGUUGGAUUAGCUAGUUGGUAGGGUAAAAGCCUACCAAGGCGACGAGCCAUAGCUGGUCUGAGAGGAUGAGCAGCCACACUGGGACUGAGACACGGCCCAGACUCCUACGGGAGGCAGCAGUGGGGAAUAUUGGACAAUGGGCGAAAGCCUGAUCCAGCAAUGCCGCGUGAGUGAUGAAGGCCUUAGGGUUGUAAAGCUCUUUUACCCGGGAUGAUAAUGACAGUACCGGGAGAAUAAGCUCCGGCUAACUCCGUG
rnacentral:rRNA from 1 species